AGUUCGAUUAUGGCUCAGAUUGAACGCUGGCGGGAUGCUUUACACAUGCAAGUCGAACGGCAGCACGGACUUCGGUCUGGUGGCGAGUGGCGAACGGGUGAGUAAUGUAUCGGAACGUGCCUAGUAGCGGGGGAUAACUACGCGAAAGCGUAGCCAAUACCGCAUACGCCCUUCGGGGGAAAGCGGGGGACCUUCGGGCCUCGCACUAUUAGAGUGGCUGGAUAUCGGAUUAGCUAGUUGGUGGGUAACGGCUCACCAAGGCGACGAUCCGUAGCUGGUUUGAGAGGACGACCAGCCACACUGGGACUGAGACACGGCCCAGACUCCUACGGGAGGCAGCAGUGGGGCUUUAAUAAUGGGAACCUGAUCCAGCCAUCCGCGUGUGCGAUGAAGGCCUUCGGGUUGUAAAGCACUUUUUGGCAGGAAAGAAACGCACGGGAUAAUACCCCGUGCAACCGACGGUACCUGCAGAAUAAGCACCGGCCAACUACGCCGCGCCAGCAGCCGCGGUAAUACGUAGGGUGCAAGCGUUAAUCGGAAUUACUGGGCGUAAAGCGUGCGCAGGCGGUUCGGAAAGAAAGAUGUGAAAUCCUGUGGAGCUUAACUUUUGGAACUGCAUUUUUAACUACCGAGCUAGAGUGUGUCAGAGGGAGGUGGAAUUCCGCGUAGCAGUGAAAUGCGUAGAUAUAAAGGUGGAGGAACACCGAUGGCGAAGGCAGCCUCCUGGAUAACACUGACGUGCUCAUGCACGAAAGCGUGGGGAGCAAACAGGAUUAGAUACCCGGUAGUCCACGCCCUAAACGAUGUUUAAUUUAGUUGUUGGGGCCUUCGGGCCUUGGUAGCGCAGCUAACGCGUGAAGUUGACCGCCUGGGAGUACGGUCGCAAGAUUAAAACUCAAAAGGAAUUGACGGGGACUCCGCACAAGCGGUGAUGAUGAUUAAUUCGAUGCAACGCGAAACCUUACCUACCCUUGACAUGUCUGGAAUCCCGAAGAGAUUUGGGAGUGCUCGCAAGAGAACCGGAACACAGGUGCUGGUAUGGCUGUCGCCGCUCGUGUCGAGAUGUUGGGUUAAGUCCCCGGCAACGAGCGGCAACCCUCUUGUCAUUAGUUGCUACGAAAGGGCACUCUAAUGAGACUGCCGGUGACAAACCGGAGGCGGUGGAUGACGCCAAGUCCUCGCGGCCUCUUAUGGCAGGGCUUCACACGUCAUACAAUGGUCGGGACAGAGGGUCGCCAACCCGCGAGGGGAGCCAAUCCCAGAAACCUGAUCAGAAUCCUGAUCACCAGUGUCUGCAACUCGACUGCGUGAAGUCGGAAUCGCCAGUAAUCGCGGAUCAGCAUGUCGCGGUGAAUACGUUCCCGGGUCUUGUACACACUCCGCCCGUCACACCAUGGCGGGUUUUACCAGAAGUAGUUAGCCUAACCGUAAGGAGGGCGAUUACCACGGUAGGAUUCAUGACUGGGCAAAGCCGUAACAAGGUAA
rnacentral:rRNA from 1 species